ACGGCGAGUGAAGCGGCAAAAGCUCAAAUUUGAAACCCUCGGGAUUGUAAUUUGAAGAUUUGGCAUUGGAGAAAGCUAACCCAAGUUGCUUGGAAUAGUACGUCAUAGAGGGUGACAACCCCGUCUGGCUAACCGUUCUCCAUGUAUUGCCUUAUCAAAGAGUCGAGUUGUUUGGGAAUGCAGCUCAAAGUGGGUGGUAAACUCCAUCUAAAGCUAAAUACUGGUGAGAGACCGAUAGCGAACAAGUACUGUGAAGGAAAGGUGAAAAGAACUUUGAAAAGAGAGUGAAAUAGUAUGUGAAAUUGUUGAUAGGGAAGGAAAUGAGUGGAGAGUGGCCGAGGUUUCAGCCGCCCCUCGUGGGCGGUGUACUGCCGACGCCGAGUCAUCGAUAGCGAGACGAGGGUUACAAAUGGGAGCGCCUU
rnacentral:rRNA from 1 species